UACGUAGGGGGCAAGCGUUGUCCGGAAUCAUUGGGCGUAAAGAGCGUGUAGGUGGCUCGGUAAGUCCGCUGUGAAAGUCCAGGGCUCAACCCUGGAAAGCCGGUGGAAACUGUCGAGCUCGAGUCCGGAAGAGGCGAGUGGAAUUCCUGGUGUAGCAGUGAAAUGCGUAGAUAUCAGGAGGAACACCGAUGGCGAAGGCAGGUCUCUGGGCUGACACUGACGCUCAUGCACGAAAGCGUGGGGAGCAAACAGG
rnacentral:rRNA from 1 species